CAGCGGCGCACGGGUGAGUAACACGUGGGUAAUCUGCCCUGGAGUGGGGAAUAACACCGGGAAACCGGUGCUAAUACCGCAUACGAUCACGAUGUCUG
rnacentral:rRNA from 1 species